rnacentral:lncRNA from 1 species
UAUCUGAACGAUGUGGCCAUCCAGGUAACUACAAGACUUUUUCAAUGCUUCGACCGGUGUAGGGAGAAGAACGCUGAGCGGAGGCUAAAGCAGCCUGGGACAGAAUGCAAAUGCUAGAAGCGGUGGGCUGGGAGCAUGAAGGGAGGGGGAUGCGCACCUCUACAGUUGUUGCGAGAUGCCCGAGAUGCGGGAUGCGGAGGCGGGAAAAGAACCUAGCCUGGGCUUAGCAGUCCUUAGAUCAGUCCCGUGGAGCCUCUCUGUGGCUCUCCGAAGUGGGCAGGGGGCACGCCCGCGCGCGAAUGUCUGUGAUUGUGGCGAUGGUGGUUGCGCAGGCUCCGUUGUGUCCCGCCUCCCUCUGGCGUUUAUGAGCUGGCUUUGGUCGCAAGGGUUGCUUUAGGUGAGCCCUGCUGUCAUUCAGCUGCCCAGCAGCCUUCUCUGGCCAGCUGUGGGGCAGUUUGCUGGUUGACUGUCCUCUCCUUAGGAGAUCUUGCAGCCUAGCGAUUUAGGUAAUUUGAGAAUGUUCCCUAAAAGGAAUGCUAACCUUCUGAGUCUGGCUUAUUUCAGUGAACUGGAACUUCAUAUUCGUGGUCAUAUUCAUAUAAUGUUCAUCAAUUGUUUAUUGUUGAGUAGCAUCCUAUUGCAUAUAUGGAUAUACUUGUCUGCUCACUCAUCAACUGAAGAAAUUUGGGCAGUUAUGAGUAAAUACAGUUCAC